AUGAACAAGAUGACAAAUGAAGUUAAUGGCUUAAAGGAUUAUGUUAAGAUGCUUGUGAGCAAAAUGGAUAGUAUGGUGGGAGAAAAUGAAGCAUGGCUGCCUGCUCAACCAAUUCCAAACCCGAAAGCUCACUCUGGGGCAAUAUCUUCAGUUGAUGCAGUGACUACAAGGAGUGGAGCUAUGACAGGACCAUUACUUCCUAUUCCGAAGACAUAUGUGCCUCCUGCUAUGAGGCCAAGUUCAUCCGGAACUCCACCUUCAACAUCCACCUUCAACAUCAUCAGAGAAAAUAAAGGAGAAAGAAGUUGA
rnacentral:rRNA from 1 species